AAGAUAAUGAAUAAUGCUACUACUCAUAUAGGUCAUUGCGUAUGUAUUACAAAAUUUAUCACAAGAUUACGUAAAGGGAGAAGCACGAUAAACGUCGAGGUAAUGAGUUCGAUUCCCUCCAAUUGAAAGAACACAUAUUCCCCAACAAUUAUUUAUUAUACGGUGUUAGAAAUAUGUACAUAAAUGAUAUAUAAUCUUUAAACGAUCAACAAAACUCAUAUUAGCACUGGAUCUAAAUUUGUAAAAAAUAAUAACGAUUGCAUGUGGAUAAAAAAUAGUUACUUAUAAGACUUCGUAAAAAGAUAAAAUUAUUUACAAAUAUAUCCACAUACUUGUUAUGCGCAAUUAAGACAACUAAUUCCCCAAGAUAAUAUAGAUGGUUAUACAAGUAGAAGUAAGAGGUUAAGGUCCGAGUGUGGGGUAUACAAACCUUCAUUUUGAGGAAGGAUGAAAUUGAACGUACGUACAUAAACUAUACACACGUCUAUAUUAAAGACAAAGUCGUCUACUCUCAAAAUUUGAGGGAGAUUCUUCCAUCUCACAUAGAAAAUCGUUGAAGCGGGUGAGGUAGGCUACCGGUGGUUCACAUGCAUAAUUUUACUUUUGAUAGUAUAUACUGUUAUAUAUUCUCUAAUGAUACUUUGAUUGAAACCUUGUUUUUCUUUUACUUUUUUUUUUUUAAAGAGAAUAUAUUAUCAUAAACAAUCAGACAAGGCUUGAUAGAAUAAUUUUUCCAAUAUCUUUUUUUCAGUUGAUCACUCAAAUUUGAAUCGUAAAAGAGGAAGGGGUUAAAAAAUUAAUUUCAGUAUUGCUUCCCUAAUUUUUUAAAAUAAAAAAUAGUUAAAUUAUUACCAACUUAAUGAGGAUGAGAAAAUAUAUGCGCACUUAAGAUACCUAUGAAAGAAAUUUUCUACUAACACAAAUUAUGUGCACACAGUAAGCUAAAAGCUCCGUUAAAAAUUUCUCCUACCUUUUACUAUAUAAACAUUUUUCCCACUUAUCCUUAUUAAUUUCUAACAUCAUUAAUAAUUAAACUGAAUAUAAUUAUAAAAAAUUAUAAAAGAAAAUCUCUAUGUACCCAAAUGAAACUCCUAGCGAAGAUUAGCAAAUACAUAUCCAUGGUGCAAUAGGGGGGGGGGGGGGGGGGAACUUGAAUUUGCAAGAAAGUUACGUGAACAUCAAUCAAUUAGUCAUAUUCAUUUUCAUUGAAAUGACUAGAAUGCUGAGUACAUUUUUCAACCUUUGCACAUCAAUCACGGUAAGCUUGUAUGACUAAUUAGUACAAAAGUUAGACGUCCAUGGGACCAUUCUAUGUCCCAUUCGAUAUUAACAAAAUUUACUCUUAUUCGAACUUUCACAACUUGAUUCCACUAAUGUUGCGUUUAUUAAAUUGGAAUCGGAAUGAGUUGCAAUUAGAAUGGACAAUAAUGAGAAUGGGUUGGAAUGGGAAUAGAGAAUGAGAAUAGGGAAUAUGAAUUAAAAUAAGUUGUUUACUUAAAUUGUAGGAAUUGAAAUCAGAAUGAGCUGAAUUGUCAUAAAUAUGUUUACUUUGUCUUGGAAUCGGAAUUGAAAUAUGUUAGAUUGUAACAAAUUACUAAAAAGUACUUAAUGAAUUAUUGU
rnacentral:lncRNA from 1 species